rnacentral:rRNA from 1 species
CUUGCACCUGAUUGAUUUUGGUCGCCAACGAGUGGCGGACGGGUGAGUAACACGUAGGUAACCUGCCCAGAAGCGGGGGACAACAUUUGGAAACAGAUGCUAAUACCGCAUAACAACGUUGUUCGCAUGAACAACGCUUAAAAGAUGGCUUCUCGCUAUCACUUCUGGAUGGACCUGCGGUGCAUUAGCUUGUUGGUGGGGUAAUGGCCUACCAAGGCGAUGAUGCAUAGCCGAGUUGAGAGACUGAUCGGCCACAAUGGGACUGAGACACGGCCCAUACUCCUACGGGAGGCAGCAGUAGGGAAUCUUCCACAAUGGGCGCAAGCCUGAUGGAGCAACACCGCGUGAGUGAAGAAGGGUUUCGGCUCGUAAAGCUCUGUUGUUAAAGAAGAACACGUAUGAGAGUAACUGUUCAUACGUUGACGGUAUUUAACCAGAAAGUCACGGCUAACUACGUGCCAGCAGCCGCGGUAAUACGUAGGUGGCAAGCGUUAUCCGGAUUUAUUGGGCGUAAAGAGAGUGCAGGCG